rnacentral:rRNA from 1 species
GAUGAACGCUGGCGGCGUGCCUAAUACAUGCAAGUCGAGCGAACGGACGAGAAGCUUGCUUCUCUGAUGUUAGCGGCGGACGGGUGAGUAACACGUGGAUAACCUACCUAUAAGACUGGGAUAACUUCGGGAAACCGGAGCUAAUACCGGAUAAUAUUUUGAACCGCAUGGUUCAAAAGUGAAAGACGGUCUUGCUGUCACUUAUAGAUGGAUCUGCGCUGCAUUAGCUAGUUGGUAAGGUAACGGCUUACCAAGGCAACGAUGCAUAGCCUACCUGAGAGGGUGAUCGGCCACACUGGAACUGAGACACGGUCCAGACUCCUACGGGAGGCAGCAGUAGGGAAUCUUCCGCAAUGGGCGAAAGCCUGACGGAGCAACGCCGCGUGAGUGAUGAAGGUCUUCGGAUCGUAAAACUCUGUUAUUAGGGAAGAACAUAUGUGUAAGUAACUGUGCACAUCUUGACGGUACCUAAUCAGAAAGCCACGGCUAACUACGUG